rnacentral:rRNA from 1 species
CAAACCACCGAAUGUGCUUGCACCUUUCAGUGAGUGGCGAACGGGUGAGUAACACGUGGACAACCUGCCUCAAGGCUGGGGAUAACAUUUGGAAACAGAUGCUAAUACCGAAUAAAACUUAGUGUCGCAUGACAAAAAGUUAAAAGGCGCUUCGGCGUCACCUAGAGAUGGAUCCGCGGUGCAUUAGUUAGUUGGUGGGGUAAAGGCCUACCAAGACAAUGAUGCAUAGCCGAGUUGAGAGACUGAUCGGCCACAUUGGGACUGAGACACGGCCCAAACUCCUACGGGAGGCUGCAGUAGGGAAUCUUCCACAAUGGGCGAAAGCCUGAUGGAGCAACGCCGCGUGUGUGAUGAAGGCUUUCGGGUCGUAAAGCACUGUUGUAUGGGAAGAACAGCUAGAAUAGGAAAUGAUUUUAGUUUGACGGUACCAUACCAGAAAGGGACGGCUAAAUACGUGCCAGCAGCCGCGGUAAUACGUAUGUCCCGAGCGUUAUCCGGAUUUAUUGGGCGUAAAGCGAGCGCAGACGGUUUAUUAAGUCUGAUGUGAAAGCCCGGAGCUCAACUCCGGAAUGGCAUUGGAAACUGGUUAACUUGAGUGCAGUAGAGGUAAGUGGAACUCCAUGUGUAGCGGGUGG